rnacentral:pre_miRNA from 1 species
AGUGAAAUUGCUUAGUUUUGUGGUAAGUUUGCAUUUAUUGUUUGAAGAACCAUCAAAUUAUUUUUCAUAGUAGGUGAACCAUUCUACAUUCUACCAGCAAU